UGCCGAUCGGGUAUGAAAUGAGAACUGCCCAGCAGGAGCGUACAAAGAACGCUGUGCGGCUGUGGCUGUGCUGGCUGCUGACUGCGACCGACUGCUUAAAGUCUGUAGGACAAGCUCCUGAGUCUCUGACCUCCAUCAAAGCAGAAACCUAAUAGAGCUGGACAAACACCUCAGCUGACAGUUACGCAUAAGCUGUUCAGUAAACUUGUUCUCUUGCUGGUUUUUGUAUUUGCCUCUUGUAAAGGUUUGAGACACAGACUCAACACUACCUGGGUAUGCUGUGUUUAAGAUGAAUAUGUGUUUAACUACCUUACUGAACAAGAUCUAUGUUACUGACAAAUAUUUGCAAAAUAGUAAAUAUUAGUGAAUACUCCGGUGAACUGACAUCUUAAUGUAUACAUGUUUGAAUCCUAAAGCUGUUUAAUCAUUUAGGGGAGAAAGGUGUCCAGAAUGAUUUGCUCAUUAAAGAUUUGGAGACUUUGAAGCUCCAGAUUCCUCCUGUACUGCAAAACCAGAGCAUUUCUCUGACAGAAGGCAGGAACAAGGCAGUACAGAACAUAGUUGAUCUGGAAGAGAAACAGCAGGAAAAACGUCAGAGCUACCAAAAAAUAAUUUGCCACCAGACAGCUCUUAAAGCAAGUAUAAAUUGGGGUGAGAUGCUGACCUUAUUGAAGUUAUCGGGAGUGUUUCUGUUGGCAUUGUUAUCAUGGUUUUGCCUGAUAAAAUGAGGAUGAGUGCAUGGAGGUGGGUGGCAUUCAGCUGAUAUUCCCUAUUUUUCGCAGGUUGCCCUAAGGCCUGGGAGGCCUUGUCGGGAGAACCAAGGAACAGUAGUGAACUCAGAAGUGUGUGAAUUCUUAAAGUGCAUCACUCAGGCAAGGUGCUGGAGCUUGGGCUGUGACACACACGUGGACCAUGCUUCGUAUCCAAAAGGAACAAAUGGAACUUGUAGUGUUCACUGUUCUGAUUGUAUUGGCCAGCGCUUUCCUAACAGAUGCUAGGAACCAACCAAUUUCCAGAAGGUGCACCAGUCCCACAGGCAAGCCCUCCCAGUAACAAAACAAUUACUCCCUCUGCCAUCUCUUCUGGCUGUUUCAUCAGCUACCAGCAUUGCUUCUGUUUGUUUGUUUUUUUUUAAAACUGACUCUCAGGCAAAAAAGGUGAGAAUCCACACCCCUGCUUUCCUCCACACACAGUUACUUGAUUUGUUCCAACACUCUCUUCCACUGUUGGAACUGAGAAAGGGGAUAUUAGUAGUCACUUCAUUGGGGUAAUAUGAAUGUUCAUGAGUUAUUUUCCAGGUAGUAUGUAGGGCAGUUGCCAUAUAAACAGCUCUGAAUUUGACAGUAUCUGCUUCACAACUGCUGUUGCUAUGUCCAGUUUUGAAGGAAGAGUAAAUGUUUCAUCGACAACUGAGAAUUAGAUGUUGUUCAUUCACACGCACACACAAACGUACUGGUUAACCAUCCAGUGCAUAGUGUUGCUGGGUCCCUGCCAGGCGAUAGUUUGAAGGUGUUUGAAUAUUUUGAACUGAGGUUUAUUCUUCUUCCGAUUCAUUCUUAAUCAGCCAAAUGAUUCAGAAUGUCUACUCUACCUGUUAAACGUACUUAAGCAUCAGUCGUUUCAUCUUCUUGAAUCUCAUUAUUUGGGGGUUUAUAAUUAGUGUAACUCUUAACACUUCUGCAUAGAUUUUUAAGAAGGCAUUGGACAAGGGCAAUUACCUAGGCAAUGUAGUAGAGCAAAUACAUCUUUUUAACUUCUCUUUCUCAAAGCAAGCCAGAAAGAAAAGUCUUUGUCAUUCCAGUUUUCCAGCCCAGCACAAUCAUGUUUUGUCCUUGUAUCUCAACUGAAUUAACAGCAUUAUAUCCCUGUGUCCCAGAUACUUUUGCCUGGAAUUGUAGUUGGACAUGCUUUAAGUUGCUUUGUUUGGUUUAUUGGGAGUUCAAGCAAACACAUCACGUAGUCACAUUAAUGUAGGAAUUUUAUGGGCUUAUGUCAUUUCCCUGGUUGGUGUAUGUCUGGCAUGCACCGUGAAGUUAGCAGUGAGUGUUUGUAUUGGAAAAGAGUAAAAUAAAUGCUGUGUUUGACCUGGCUGCUUGCAGAGUAUCAAUGGGAAUCGUUAUGGAUGUGUGAAGUGCAUACAUGAGCUCAGCUGAGCUGCCACUCCCAGAGGGGUGAGACUUCUGUUGCUCUAAAAGCACUGAUACUGCUCAGCCAAAGUCAGACCAGGACAUGUUCAGAUUUUCCUCAUGCUUUUUAAUCAACUGAAUUUGGAAGGGGAGCUAAUUAAAGAUGUACAAAGCUUCAUGCCUAUCUUUAUUACAAAUGCAACUGUGACACAAUUUUUCAGGUGAAACCUACACUGGAAGGGAAGGAAACAUGCAUUUCAAAUUAAGUAGCUCUGCACUCAAGCUGAAAAGCAGGUGAGAUCUUGACUAGGCAAAUUAACCUACCUACCCAUCUAUUGUGUGCUGAGAAAUUAUUUUUAGCAUGCCUGUGAUGCUUUUGAUAAUUACUUUCCUAUGUAAUCAAAGGUUGUAUUUAACAAAACAGAGAUGAAACAGGGAGUUCAGCAUGAAAGGAGAUGUCUGAGUAAUCAUCUUUAUCUUGCUCAUAUUACUAACCUGGGAAAGCACUGCUACAGAACCUAUAGUUACCUUCUGAAAGCAAAGCAGAAAUAAUUACCUGUAUUGAGUGCCUGUUAAUAUCCAGUGUAAUACAUUUUAAGAUUGCUCAUGAAGGAUCUGGUCCCAACAGGUGCUUAGUAGGCUGCAGAAUCAUAAAAAAGUGUACACAUGGCUACCUUUCACAGGUGGCUGCUUCUUUUCCAGACAGACAUCAUCUAAUAUUAAAAUAUUGUGGAAUUUCAUGAGUUGUCAGUUGCUUUGUGGCCCGUGCCUGUUUGGCAGUUCAGCCUGGAUUGCCCCCAGAACCUGAAGGGUAAGAUUUGCAAGAGGAGAAUUGUUAGAAUAUCUAACAAUGUGGAAGCCAGUUUCUGUGUUAAGUUAGCACUGGGCUGAAAGCUAUCAUAGCAACCAAGUGCCGUUUGGAGCAUCUUCUCACAUUUGGUUGCUUGCAAAAGAAAAGAUCAGCUUGGGGGGAAAAAACUAAAACACCAAACCAGGAUAAAACCCAGUAAUUCACAGAAAACUAUCAAAUUAAUGGAGCUCCAUUUAAAAGUCAGCAUGAAUUUUAUAUCAUUCCAUAUGCCUUGUCGAUUUAACCUUUUUUUUUUUUCAUUAACAGCUUUCAAAUAAACUACUGAAAAAAUACUUUGACUGGAGGGGUUUGGAAUUAAAUUAUAAAUUUAAUGUGUAGUUUGUCAGCAAUUGGGAAUAGAAUUUUUCCAGACCCAUUUUGCUGAGGACAUUUUCUCUAUUGUUGGUCUCUUUCUGAUCAUCUGUACUGCCUGAGAAAGGAAAAAUCUCUUUUUUUAUUGGCUUCACUGAAGAAGUUGAAUGACAGGGUUUUUUCCAUGACUGACUGCUGAGUAAAAAAAGGAAGUUAUGGCUAGAUUAUGAUUAUUUUCUCCUGCUGUGAUGAGAUGAGUAGAAGAAGUUGAAGUCAGCACCUGGUUGUGGAUAGCCAUCGAUAAAGAUGAUAUAUAAUAAAACCAAAAUCUGUUAUUUCAUUCGCAAGUUGAGCAGCAUCUCAGUUUUCUGUGCUCACUUCGUCAUUAAGAAACUUCUCUUCAAAGAAUCAUCAUUAAAUUAUGUUUCUUUGCUUCUGAGGAUGAUAUGUACUUCCUAACUUAGCACUUAAACAGUAGGAAAGAAAUAAUUAAUUCUGAGCUCUUCAGUUCUCUCCAUUGACUUGCAAGAGGAAAAAAAAUAAUGGAACAAUUCCUUUCAGGUCUGAAAAGAAGGUAAGAUGUAUACUUAUUCAGGUCUGAAAAGAGGGUAAGAUGUAUACUUAUACUCACUACCUGUCCCUCCACCAUGAACAGCUAUUGCAUUUUUCAAAAGCUUGCCACAAACUGGUGAAGUUGUAAUUUUAGUUGAGUUAAAAUAUUCCUCACAUCUUCAUCUUUUUUGUGGACUUAGCUUGCUAUAUGGGAAUGAUCCAGGAGUCGAUUUCUCUUGAAAAGUAAACGUAGCUAUUUAAACUGUAUUUUGAAACAUCUGAAGUGAAAAGUUUUGGAAGGCAUUGGAGUCCAGUAAAUUCCCUCCCUUGUGUUUAAAAUUUAGUAUUUUUCAUAGGAGGUAUUUUUUAGAACUAUUAAACAGUUGCACCUAUGUUACAAGGCUUUACAAGCCAAGCUUCAGCUUCAGAUGAAAUUUUAUAAUUGGAAUCUAAUUUUCUAAAAAUAAACAUAAUUUAAGCAUGACACCUCACUGUGAAGCACUGAACAUAGCUACCUGUACUGGUCCAACCUCUUGAAACCAUAUGGCUAAAAUGUUGUAGGAUGGUAGAGAAAGCGUAAUUAAUAGUUAAACAUUCUAUUUUUAAUGUUAAUGUAAAAUACAGUCAUCCACAAGCUAUUCAAAAUAUGUACUGUUACCUUAUUUUAAUUUUAAGUUAAUGUUUAUUAUCAGAAUGAUUCUCGUUACCAGAGGAAGAUGGAAGUGAGCGGAUUCUGUUAGUCUGUGAAGAAUCUACCAGGAAGAUUUCACUAGAGGCAUCAGCUUCACUCCUGGGAGAUCUCUGAACCCACAAAAUGUCCUCUGUGGAAGAACACAGAAGGAGCUGAACCAUUCUCCACAUGCAGCCAGGACGCAGAGGUGGUCUUAUCUCAUAAAGGAAUAGAUUUAGCUGCAGGUGAGGUGCCCUGGGCAUUAUGUCCUGUAAUGAGGUAGCAAACACAACAUUUUCAUCUGCUACUCUCUCCUUUCUAAAUGAAUUUACAGGCA